UACGGGGGGAGCAAGCGUUGUUCGGAUUUACUGGGCGUAAAGGGCGCGUAGGCGGCCACCGCAAGUCAGUUGUGAAAUCUCCGAGCUUAACUCGGAAAGGUCAACUGAUACUGUGCGACUAGAGUGCGGAAGGGGCAACUGGAAUUCUCGGUGUAGCGGUGAAAUGCGUAGAUAUCGAGAGGAACACCUGCGGCGAAGGCGGGUUGCUGGGCCGACACUGACGCUGAUGCGCGAAAGCCAGGGGAGCGAACGGG
rnacentral:rRNA from 1 species